AUUGAACGCUGGCGGCAGGCCUAACACAUGCAAGUCGAGCGGAUGACGGGAGCUUGCUCCUUGAUUCAGCGGCGGACGGGUGAGUAAUGCCUAGGAAUCUGCCUGGUAGUGGGGGACAACGUUUCGAAAGGAACGCUAAUACCGCAUACGUCCUACGGGAGAAAGCAGGGGACCUUCGGGCCUUGCGCUAUCAGAUGAGCCUAGGUCGGAUUAGCUAGUUGGUGGGGUAAUGGCUCACAAAGGCGACGAUCCGUAACUGGUCUGAGAGGAUGAUCAGUCACACUGGAACUGAGACACGGUCCAGACUCCUACGGGAGGCAGCAGUGGGGAAUAUUGGACAAUGGGCGAAAGCCUGAUCCAGCCAUGCCGCGUGUGUGAAGAAGGUCUUCGGAUUGUAAAGCACUUUAAGUUGGGAGGAAGGGCAGUAAGUUAAUACCUUGCUGUUUUGACGUUACCGGCAGAAUAAGCACCGGCUAACUCUGUGCCAGCCGCCGCCGUAA
rnacentral:rRNA from 1 species